GUGCUUGGUUUGGCAGCACAUAUGCUAAGAUUAGAAUGAUACAGAGAAGAUUAGUAUGGCCCCUGCACAAGGAUGACACAGAAAUUCGUGAAGUCUUCCAUGUUUAA